rnacentral:rRNA from 1 species
GCUUGCUCCCUGAGAUUAGCGGCGGACGGGUGAGUAACACGUGGGCAACCUGCCUAUAAGACUGGGAUAACUUCGGGAAACCGGAGCUAAUACCGGAUACGUUCUUUUCUCGCAUGAGAGAAGAUGGAAAGACGGUUUACGCUGUCACUUAUAGAUGGGCCCGCGGCGCAUUAGCUAGUUGGUGAGGUAAUGGCUCACCAAGGCGACGAUGCGUAGCCGACCUGAGAGGGUGAUCGGCCACACUGGGACUGAGACACGGCCCAGACUCCUACGGGAGGCAGCAGUAGGGAAUCUUCCGCAAUGGACGAAAGUCUGACGGAGCAACGCCGCGUGAACGAAGAAGGCCUUCGGGUCGUAAAGUUCUGUUGUUAGGGAAGAACAAGUACCAGAGUAACUGCUGGUACCUUGACGGUACCUAACCAGAAAGCCACGGCUAACUACGUGCCAGCAGCCGCGGUAAUACGUAGGUGGCAAGCGUUGUCCGGAAUUAUUGGGCGUAAAGCGCGCGCAGGUGGUUCCUUAAGUCUGAUGUGAAAGCCCACGGCUCAACCGUGGAGGGUCAUUGGAAACUGGGGAACUUGAGUGCAGAAGAGGAAAGUGGAAUUCCAGGUGUAGCGGUG